rnacentral:sRNA from 1 species
UGCCGGUUUGGCGGCGUUGACGCCCCCCUUC